rfam:Ipomoea nil DNA, scaffold: scaffold2701, cultivar: Tokyo-kokei standard.
CUGACCUUAGCUCAGUGGGUAGAGUGGUGGACUGUAGUUGGACUAAUCUAAAUUGUAAAUCCUUAGGUCGCUGGUUUGAUUCCGGCAGGUUGGA